rnacentral:rRNA from 1 species
CGGAAGAUCCGAGCGUUAUCCGGAAUUACUGGGCGUAAAGAGUUGCGUAGGUGGCAUGUAAAGCGAAUAGUGAAAGGCUACGGCUCAACCGUAGAUACAUUGUUCGAACUCACAAGCUAGAGCAUAGUAGAGGUACCUGGAAUUCCCAGUGUAGGAGUGAAAUCCGUAGAUAUUGGGAGGAACACCGAUGGCGUAGGCAGGGUACUGGGCUAUUGCUGACACUAAGGCACGAAAGCGUGGGGAGCGAACGGGAUUAGAUACCCCGGUAGUCCACGCCGUAAACUAUGGAUGCUAGCUGUUAUUGGUAUCGACCCCAGUAGUAGCGAAGCUAACGCGUUAAGCAUCCCGCCUGUGGAGUACGAGCGCAAGCUUA